GACGAACGCUGGCGGCGUGCUUAACACAUGCAAGUCGAACGGAAAGGCCCUGCUUUUGUGGGGUGCUCGAGUGGCGAACGGGUGAGUAACACGUGAGUAACCUGCUCUUGACUUUGGGAUAACUUCAGGAAACUGGGGCUAAUACCGGAUAGGAGCUCCUGCUGCAUGGUGGGGGUUGGAAAGUUUCGGCGGUUGGGGAUGGACUCGCGGCUUAUCAGCUUGUUGGUGGGGUAGUGGCUUACCAAGGCUUUGACGGGUAGCCGGCCUGAGAGGGGGACCGGCCACAUUGGGACUGAGGGACGGCCCAGACUCCUACGGGAGGCAGCAGUGGGGAAUAUUGCACAAUGGGCGGAAGCCUGAUGCAGCAACGCCGCGUGCGGGAUGACGGCCUUCGGGUUGAAAACCGCUUUCGCCUGUGACGAAGCGUGAGUGACGGUAAUGGGUAAAGAAGCACCGGCUAACUACGUG
rnacentral:rRNA from 1 species